rnacentral:rRNA from 1 species
CGAAUUCGCCCUUAGAGUUUGAUCCUGGCUCAGGAUGAACGCUAGCUACAGGCUUAACACAUGCAAGUCGAGGGGAAACGACAUCGAAAGCUUGCUUUUGAUGGGCGUCGACCGGCGCACGGGUGAGUAACGCGUAUCCAACCUGCCCACCACUUGGGGAUAACCUUGCGAAAGUAAGACUAAUACCCAAUGAUAUCUCUAGAAGACAUCUGAAAGAGAUUAAAGAUUUAUCGGUGAUGGAUGGGGAUGCGUCCGAUUAGCUUGUUGGCGGGGUAACGGCCCACCAAGGCGACGAUCAGUAGGGGUUCUGAGAGGAAGGUCCCCCACAUUGGAACUGAGACACGGUCCAAACUCCUACGGGAGGCAGCAGUGAGGAAUAUUGGUCAAUGGACGAGGGUCUGAACCAGCCAAGUAGCGUGCAGGAUGACGGCCCUAUGGGUUGUAAACUGCUUUUAUAAGGGAAUAAAGUGAGUCUCGUGAGACUUUUUGCAUGUACCUUAUGAAUAAGGACCGGCUAAUUCCGUGCCAGCAGCCGCGGUAAUACUGAAUGUCCGGGCGUUAUCCGGAUUUAUUGGGUU